AUGAACGCUGGCGGCGUGCCUAAUACAUGCAAGUCGAGCGAACAGAUGAGGAGCUUGCUCCUCUGACGUUAGCGGCGGACGGGUGAGUAACACGUGGAUAACCUACCUAUAAGACUGGGAUAACUUCGGGAAACCGGAGCUAAUACCGGAUAAUAUAUUGAACCGCAUGGUUCAAUAGUGAAAGACGGUUUUGCUGUCACUUAUAGAUGGAUCCGCGCCGCAUUAGCUAGUUGGUAAGGUAACGGCUUACCAAGGCAACGAUGCGUAGCCGACCUGAGAGGGUGAUCGGCCACACUGGAACUGAGACACGGUCCAGACUCCUACGGGAGGCAGCAGUAGGGAAUCUUCCGCAAUGGGCGAAAGCCUGACGGAGCAACGCCGCGUGAGUGAUGAAGGUCUUCGGAUCGUAAAACUCUGUUAUUAGGGAAGAACAAUUGUGUAAGUAACUAUGCACGUCUUGACGGUACCUAAUCAGAAAGCCACGGCUAACUACGUG
rnacentral:rRNA from 1 species